rnacentral:rRNA from 1 species
UACGUAGGGCGCGAGCGUUAAUCGGAAUUACUGGGCGUAAAGCGUGCGCAGGCGGUUUUGUAAGCCAGAUGUGAAAUCCCCGGGCUUAACCUGGGAAUGGCAUUUGGGACUGCAAGGCUUGAGUUUGGCAGAGGAGACUGGAAUUCCUGGUGUAGCAGUGAAAUGCGUAGAUAUCAGGAGGAAUACCGAUGGCGAAGGCAGGUCUCUGGGCUAGAACUGACGCUCAUGCACGAAAGCGUGGGGAGCAAACAGG